rnacentral:rRNA from 1 species
UACGGAGGGUGCGAGCGUUAAUCGGAAUUACUGGGCGUAAAGCGUGCGUAGGCGGCCAAGUCAGUCAGAUGUGAAAGCCCUGGGCUCAACCUGGGAACUGCAUUUGAUACUGCUUGGCUAGAGUAUGGUAGAGGGAAGUGGAAUUCAGGGUGUAGCGGUGAAAUGCGUAGAUAUCCUGAGGAACACCAGUGGCGAAGGCGACUUCCUGGACCAAUACUGACGCUGAGGUACGAAAGCGUGGGUAGCAAACAGG